rnacentral:snoRNA from 1 species
AAUCCAUGGUGGGGCAAUCACGUUCAUACUCCUUAAAACGCUCCCAGGCUUCAUAGAAAGAUUCAGUUGUCCUUUAUUGAAAGGUUGAGAUCUUUGUUCUCAAAUU